CUGCAGCAAAUUAAUCUGAUUACUCUUCACCCUGUGGGGCUGCAUACAUAGCACUGUAUAGUGAAUACAAACUGUCAUCUUCUUAAGAGUGUUUGCAGCCUGUUGAUUGUAUGGAUUGUGCUAAAGGACUCUGGAGGUGAGC